UGGGGAAUUUUGGACAAUGGGCGCAAGCCUGAUCCAGCCAUGCCGCGUGUGUGAAGAAGGCCUUCGGGUUGUAAAGGGCUUUUGUCAGGGAGGAAAUCGCUAGGGUUAAUACCUGGGGUGGAUGACGGUACCUGAAGAAUAAGCACCGGCUAACUACGUGCCAGCAGCCGCGGUAAUACGUAGGGUGCGAGCGUUAAUCGGAAUUACUGGGCGUAAAGCGUGCGCAGGCGGUUUUAUAAGCCAGAUGUGAAAUCCCCGGGCUCAACCUGGGAACUGCGUUUGGGACUGCAAGGCUAGAGUGCGUCAGAGGGGGAUGGAAUUCCGCGUGUAGCAGUGAAAUGCGUAGAUAUGCGGAGGAACACCGAUGGCGAAGGCAGUCCCCUGGGACUACACUGACGCUCAUGCACGAAAGCGUGGGGAGCAAACAGGAUUAGAUACCCUGGUAGUCCACGCCCUAAACGAUGUCAACUGGUUGUUGGGGGUUAAAAUCCUCGGUAACGUAGCUAACGCGUGAAAUUGACCGCCUGGGGAGUACGGCCGCAAGGUUG
rnacentral:rRNA from 1 species